UGUAAAUAGGAUUACCCAACCGUACUGC
rnacentral:sRNA from 1 species